GAUGAACGCUGGCGGCGUGCCUAAUACACGCAAGUCGAGCGAACGGACGAGAAGCUUGCUUCUCUGAUGUUAGCGGCGGACGGGUGAGUAACACGUGGAUAACCUACCUAUAAGACUGGGAUAACUUCGGGAAACCGGAGCUAAUACCGGAUAAUAUUUUGAACCGCAUGGUUCAAAAGUGAAAGACGGUCUUGCUGUCACUUAUAGAUGGAUCCGCGCUGCAUUAGCUAGUUGGUAAGGUAACGGCUUACCAAGGCAACGAUGCAUAGCCGACCUGAGAGGGUGAUCGGCCACACUGGAACUGAGACACGGUCCAGACUCCUACGGGAGGCAGCAGUAGGGAAUCUUCCGCAAUGGGCGAAAGCCUGACGGAGCAACGCCGCGUGAGUGAUGAAGGUCUUCGGAUCGUAAAACUCUGUUAUUAGGGAAGAACAUAUGUGUAAGUAACUGUGCACAUCUUGACGGUACCUAAUCAGAAAGCCACGGCUAACUACGUGCCAGCAGCCGCGGUAAUACGUAGGUGGCAAGCGUUAUCCGGAAUUAUUGGGCGUAAAGCGCGCGUAGGCGGUUUUUUAAGUCUGAUGUGAAAGCCCACGGCUCAACCGUGGAGGGUCAUUGGAAACUGGAAAACUUGAGUGCAGAAGAGGAAAGUGGAAUUCCAUGUGUAGCGGUGAAAUGCGCAGAGAUAUGGAGGAACACCAGUGGCGAAGGCGACUUUCUGGUCUGUAACUGACGCUGAUGUGCGAAAGCGUGGGGAUCAAACAGGAUUAGAUACCCUGGUAGUCCACGCCGUAAACGAUGAGUGCUAAGUGUUAGGGGGUUUCCGCCCCUUAGUGCUGCAGCUAACGCAUUAAGCACUCCGCCUGGGGAGUACGACCGCAAGGUUGAAACUCAAAGGAAUUGACGGGGACCCGCACAAGCGGUGGAGCAUGUGGUUUAAUUCGAAGCAACGCGAAGAACCUUACCAAAUCUUGACAUCCUUUGACAACUCUAGAGAUAGAGCCUUCCCCUUCGGGGGACAAAGUGACAGGUGGUGCAUGGUUGUCGUCAGCUCGUGUCGUGAGAUGUUGGGUUAAGUCCCGCAACGAGCGCAGCCCUUAAGCUUAGUUGCCAUCAUUAAGUUGGGCACUCUAAGUUGACUGCCGGUGACAAACCGGAGGAAGGUGGGGAUGACGUCAAAUCAUCAUGCCCCUUAUGAUUUGGGCUACACACGUGCUACAAUGGACAAUACAAAGGGCAGCGAAACCGCGAGGUCAAGCAAAUCCCAUAAAGUUGUUCUCAGUUCGGAUUGUAGUCUGCAACUCGACUACAUGAAGCUGGAAUCGCUAGUAAUCGUAGAUCAGCAUGCUACGGUGAAUACGUUCCCGGGUCU
rnacentral:rRNA from 1 species